UAGGGAAUCUUCCACAAUGGACGCAAGUCUGAUGGAGCAACGCCGCGUGAGUGAAGAAGGGUUUCGGCUCGUAAAGCUCUGUUGUUAAAGAAGAACGUGGGUAAGAGUAACUGUUUACCCAGUGACGGUAUUUAACCAGAAAGCCGCGGCUAACUACGUGCCAGG
rnacentral:rRNA from 1 species